UCCUGGUUAACCCAGGCAGUCUCAUUAGAGUUCCCACCAUUACGUGUUGGCAACUAAUGAUAAGGGUUGCGCUCGUUGCGGGACUUAACCCAACACCUCACGGCACGAGCUGACGACAGCCAUGCAGCACCUGUUUAGCGGUCCUUACGGAAGACUACAUUUCUGUAGCUGUCCACUAUAUGUCAAAUCUGGGUAAGGUUCUUCGCGUUGCAUCGAAUUAAACCACAUGCUCCACUGCUUGUGCGGGCCCCCGUCAAUUCUUUUGAGUUUCAGCCUUGCGACUGUACUCCCCAGGCGGUAUACUUAUCGCGUUAGCUACGACACAAUCAGGGUUGAGCCUGACUACAUCAAGUAUACAUCGUUUACGGCAAGGACUAC
rnacentral:misc_RNA from 1 species